rnacentral:rRNA from 1 species
AGAGUUUGAUCAUGGCUCAGAUUGAACGCUGGCGGCAUGCUUUACACAUGCAAGUCGAACGGCAGCGGGGGCUUCGGCCUGCCGGCGAGUGGCGAACGGGUGAGUAAUACAUCGGAACGUGUCCUUAAGUGGGGAAUAACGCAUCGAAAGAUGUGCUAAUACCGCAUAUCUCUCAGGAGGAAAGCAGGGGAUCGAAAGACCUUGCGCUAAAGGAGCGGCUGAUGUCUGAUUAGCUAGUUGGUGGGGUAAAGGCUUACCAAGGCAACGAUCAGUAGCUGGUCUGAGAGGACGACCAGCCACACUGGGACUGAGACACGGCCCAGACUCCUACGGGAGGCAGCAGUGGGGAAUUUUGGACAAUGGGCGAAAGCCUGAUCCAGCCAUGCCGCGUGAGUGAAGAAGGCCUUCGGGUUGUAAAGCUCUUUUAGUCGGAAAGAAAGAGUCAUAGUAAAUAGCUAUGAUUUAUGACGGUACCGACAGAAAAAGCACCGGCUAACUACGUGCCAGCAGCCGCGGUAAUACGUAGGGUGCGAGCGUUAAUCGGAAUUACUGGGCGUAAAGGGUGCGCAGGCGGCCUUGUAAGUCAGAUGUGAAAGCCCCGGGCUUAACCUGGGAAUUGCGUUUGAAACUACAAAGCUAGAGUGCAGCAGAGGGGAGUGGAAUUCCAUGUGUAGCAGUGAAAUGCGUAGAGAUGUGGAAGAACACCGAUGGCGAAGGCAGCUCCCUGGGU